rnacentral:tRNA from 1 species
GUAUUGAUGGUUUAGUGGUAAAAUUCUAGCCUCUCAUGCUGGAGACCUGGGUUCAAUUCUCAGCCAAGGCA